rnacentral:tRNA from 1 species
GAUUAAAUGGCUGAAUUUAGGCGAUAGGCUGUAAAUCUAUUUAUGAGAAAUUUUCUCUUUAAUCA